CUGACAUUCCUUGGCUGCUGUCCAUCAACUAUUUUGAGACAGGUCUCAAAUUGACUGGAGCGUGGUAUGUAGGUGGUGAAGAACAAUACAAGGAUGGAGAAGCAAAGAGAGAUGUCGUUUUAGUCACCCAGAGCUACAUAAUUCAAAUCAAUCCCAAAUGGUAAAAGGAAGAAACAAGGGCUGAAUGGAAGGACCCAGUAAGUCCUCUUGGAAGAACAAAUGCACAGAAGGGAUAUUUCUAUACAGAAGCAUUCAUAAUCUACCCAGGCAUUCAGACAGGUCAAAGAGCAGAGGAUAAGUGGAAAACCCUUAUCCCAGACAGAUAGUAGAAACUUACAUUAAUUCAAGUUAUAUAAAGAGAAGUGGGACAUAUAUACCAACAGAUAGAUUAAUCUCCAUAGAAAGGAGAAUGUAAGUAUACAGAUGAAUAAAUA
rnacentral:lncRNA from 1 species